ensembl:miRNA
UAUUAGGUUGGUGCAAAAGUAAUUGCGGUUUUUGCCACUAAAAGUAAUGGGGAAAAUCGCUAUUAUUUUUGUACCAACCUA